GUGCCAGCAGCCGCGGUAACACGGGGGGAGCAAGCGUUGUUCGGAAUCACUGGGCGUAAAGGGCGUGUAGGCGGUUGGAUAAGUGGAAUGUGAAAUCCCUCGGCUCACCCGAGGACCUGCAUCCCAAACUGUCCGACUUGAGUAUGGGAGAGGAUGAGGGAAUUCCUGGUGUAGCGGUGAAAUGCGUAGAUAUCAGGAGGAACACCGGUGGCGAAGGCGCUCAUCUGGCCCAAUACUGACGCUGAGGCGCGAAAGCUAGGGGAGCAAACGGGAUUAGAUACCCCCGUAGUCC
rnacentral:rRNA from 1 species